rnacentral:rRNA from 1 species
AUUGAACGCUGGCGGCAGGCCUAACACAUGCAAGUCGAGCGAGCGGCGGACGGGUGAGCAAUGUAUGGGGACUGCCCGAUAGAGGGGGAAAACUACUGGAAACGGUGGCUAAUACCGCAUACUAACCGUUAACCCACAUGGUAUUAGCUAGUAGGUGGGGUAAAGGCUCACCUAGGCGACGAUCUCUAGCUGGUCUGAGAGGAUUAACAGCCACACUGGGACUGAGACACGGCCCAGACUCCUACGGAGGCAGCAGUGGGGAAUAUUGCACAAUGGGCGCAAGCCUGAUGCAGCCAUGCCGCGUGUAUGAAGAAGGCCUUAGGGUUGUAAAGUACUUUCAGCCGGGAGGCGUUACCCGCAGAAGAAGCACCGGCUAACUCCGUGCCAGCAGCCGCGGUAAUUC